rnacentral:tRNA from 1 species
AAGGCCUUAACUUAAUUAAAGUACCUGUUUUGCACACAGGCAAUGUGGGUUAACGUCCCGCAGGUCUUU